GGGGCAGGGCACCUGUCAGGGGGCAGGGCUACCCAUGCAGCCCUUGACAGCUUGCCAAAACUGGGUAAGUGGCCCUCUGCCCGAAAUAAUUGCCCUCCCCUGACCUAGGGGCUACCAAGCAACCAGCUGAGGGGCAGAGGGGGAGAUGUGAGUGGUUUCAGCUGAAGCUGAUUACUCCAUUAAGAUUAGCAAACUCACUAUGGGCUCAGGGAAAGUUAGAGUUUGGCCCAAGAACUUUUGUUUGGAUUUUGUCAUGCAGGAAAUUGGGUGAGAAUCAGGAUCAGUUUGAUCUUUGUGGCAUUCAGUUAGCAUCUCUUCAAAAGUUCUUCCAUCAGAUGCCUUGGCUGUUUGAGAAGUAUCAUUUACCUUGUUAAAAUUCUGGUGUGACCCAUGAAGGACUUUGUUGGGGAGCCUGACCUGACCUGAACUUCUGGAUCAACAGAUAUGUUAUUCUGAUAAAUAUUAAGGUUCUUGUUGUGGCAGGUAUUCCUAUUAAUGUGAAUGUAACUGUUAUAGCCAGAAAGAGAACUUGUAAACUGUAUAUCAACAUAAAUGCUGAACAGCUGCAUUGAAAUAAUUCACUCAUGCUAUCUCACAUCAUAUCACUGUGUUUCCUUUUUUUCUAAUUAUUGUUGCAUGGUCAUUCCACAUAUAACAUAGGACAAAAAUCAUUUCUCUGUGUGUUCAAGAAGCAUAUGGUUCUAUACAGAGUAGAAAAAAUGUGUGUGGUUAGAUGCAGUAAGAGAAGUUUAGGUUGGAUUUUAGGAAGACCUUGCUAAAAAUAAGGGUAUUUUAGUUGUGGAAUAGAUUACCUAAAGAAGGGGUAACAAGUUUUUUAACAGCAGAUUUUACAAAAAAAUGGAUGAAAAGGUUUAUUCCUCUCUAAAUCAGUUUUGAGCAGGGGGUUAGGGCUAUAUGGCAUCCUAAAGUCUCUUCCAACCCUAUUUUUCUCUGUGAUUCUAUAUAACUCAUAUAUAGCUCAGUGGUGUGAAGUUUUGUUGCCUCAGUAAAUCUUGGAGUCUUCUUAGUUUUAAUCCUUUCUCUUUUCAGUGUUUUGAGUCACAGUUUACUUGUAGAAAGAACAUAAU